AUGUACACAGACUUGCAGGAGAGUGUGUCAUAAGAGACGAAACGACUAGAAAAUGGCCGAAAGAUGGGAGUGGGUGGAGAUAAUAGAACCCCGAACACGGGAACACAUGUACGCAAACCUCACCUCCGGAGAAUGUGUCUGGGACCCGCCACCUGGUGUCAAAAU